UGGGGAAUAUUGGACAAUGGGGGCAACCCUGAUCCAGCCAUGCCGCGUGUGUGAAGAAGGCCUUAGGGUUGUAAAGCACUUUCAGUGGGGAGAAAGGUGAUUCACCUAAUACGUGAGUUCAUUGAUGCUACCCACAGAAGAAGCACCGGCUAACUCCGUGCCAGCAGCCGCGGUAAUACGGAGGGUGCAAGCGUUAAUCGGAAUUACUGGGCGUAAAGCGCACGUAGGUGGUUUGUUAAGCUAGCUGUGAAAUCCCCGGGCUCAACCUGGGCACUGCAGUUAGAACUGGCAAGCUAGAGUAGGGUAGAGGGGUGUGGAAUUCCAGGUGUAGCGGUGAAAUGCGUAGAUAUCUGGAGGAACAUCAGUGGCGAAGGCGACACCCUGGACUCAUACUGACACUGAGGUGCGAAAGCGUGGGGAGCAAA
rnacentral:rRNA from 1 species